UUGAUCCUGGCUCAGAAUCAACGCUGGCGGCGUGCCUAACACAUGCAAGUCGAACGAGAAAGUGGGAGCAAUCCCGCGAGUAAAGUGGCGCACGGGUGAUUAACACGUGACUAACCUACCUUGGAGUUCGGAAUAACCUCGGGAAACCGUGGCUAAUACCGGAUGAUACCUUUGGGUCAAAGGAGCAAUUCGCUCUGAGUGGGGGUCGCGGCUGAUUAGCUAGUUGGCAGGGUAAUGGCCUACCAAGGCUACGAUCAGUAUCCGGCCUGAGAGGGCGCACGGACACACUGGAACUGAAAUACGGUCCAGACUCCUACGGGAGGCAGCAGUGGGGAAUUUUGCACAAUGGUGGAAACCCUGAUGCAGCAACGCCGCGUGGAGGAUGAAGGUCUUUGGAUUUUAAACUCCUUUCGACCGGGACGAUAAUGACGGUACCGGGAGAAGAAGCAUCGGCUAACUCUGUGCCAGCAGCCGCGGUAAUU
rnacentral:rRNA from 1 species